rnacentral:tRNA from 2 species
GCCGAAAUAGCUCAGUUGGGAGAGCAUUAGACUGAAAAUCUAAAGGUCCCUGGCUCUAUCUCAGGUUUCAGCA